rnacentral:tRNA from 1 species
AAUAAAAUGGCUGAGAAUUAAGCGAUAAAUUGUAAAUUUAUUAACGAGAAAUAAUCUAUCUCUUUUAUUA